CCUUUCUAAGGAUGAUCAAGAAUUGGAAACCUUCAUAAAAUGAGAACGUUCCUUUUUGAUCUAAUUAGACAUAAAGGUUUAAAUCCGUCAGUUUAAACAACCAGACAAUUUAAACCUUGUGCAUAUGAACACGCACUUUAAAAAACAGUUCUUUCAAAGAGGCCCCUACCUCUUAUGAAAGACUUCCCCUUUCAAGGUGCUGUGCUCAUGUGUUAAGAUAUAUAAGCAGACUAGCCGUCUUCGUUUCUCUUUCUUCAGAUGAUGAUCCCAAGCCUUCUGGCGAUCUACAAAAAACAAGCCUUGGUUUAGGCUUUCAGAAAAGACACUCUUGUUUUUGUAAAGUGGUGUGUUUUUAUGAGAUGAUGCCGGGGAAGGUUUUCCGGUUUAUCCCGGAGGGCUUGUAGCUCAGUUGGUUAGAGCGCGCGCUUGAUAAGCGUGAGGUCGGAGGUUCAAGUCCUCCCAGGCCCACCAAUUACUCCAUCCAUUUACUUUAUCUAUCCCUUUGAUUCAAUGUGUAGAUAACAGUUUUAUAAAAGGAUUAUGGCGCUUAUCCAUUUCGCUUAAGCACUUCAAAGUUAAUGCAGGGCAAAUGUAAAGCAAUGCAAAUUUGCUACAAAUUUUGCACUGUCUCUUUAUAACAGUUAGCGCAUAUUUAACAUUUUAGAAUCCUUUAUCCUGUUUUAGGGGCCGUAGCUCAGCUGGGAGAGCACCUGCUUUGCAAGCAGGGGGUCGUCGGUUCGAUCCCGUAAGGCUCCACCACUCUAGGUCAUCAUCAUUGUUGUAAGAACAGUCUUUGUAAAAGGUCUAAAGACCUUUUGCUUGUUCUAUUGAAAUUGUGAAGAGAAGAUAUAUUCAGACAUGUUCCUUUUGGAAGAUUGUUUCUGGAGGACAAGUUUUUUCUCAUGAAAAUGCUUUCUUGAGCAAAACGCUUGUUGUCAGAAAAAAGUUUUUUAAAACAGGUCUUAAAAAAGAUCUCGAAAAAGAAACUCUUCCUCUGAAGAGGAAACCGCAAUUUUAAAAAAGAAACAUUGUGUCGCAAGGGAAUGCUCAAAGCCCUUGCUUAUGAUUGGAAGCUUAACCGCGCCACUGAGUAUAUCUCGAGAAGCUGGUCUUUUCUGCUGAUAUUUUUGUUUGUUUUGCACAAGAUAAACAGUGAAUGAAUAUGGCAAUGAGAACG
rnacentral:tRNA from 1 species